rnacentral:rRNA from 1 species
AUACGGAGGAUCCGAGCGUUAUCCGGAUUUAUUGGGUUUAAAGGGUGCGCAGGCGGCCAUUUAAGUCAGCGGUUAAAUCGUGGGGCUCAACCCCAUUCUGCCGUUGAUACUGGGUGGCUUGAUUGCGGUCGAGGUUGGCGGAAUUCGUUGUGUAGCGGUGAAAUGCAUAGAUAUGACGAAGAACACCGCUUGCGUAGGCAGCUGACCAGACCGCAAAUGACGCUCAUGCACGAAAGUGCGGGGAUCGAACAGGAUUAGAUACCCUGGUAGUCCGCACAGUAAACGAUGAAUACUUGUUUUCGGCGAUAUAAUGUCGGAGGCAAAGCGAAAGCGAUAAGUAUUCCACCUGGGGAGUACGCCGGCAACGGUGAAACUCAAAUGAAUUGACGGGG